UCAAAAACUUGUCUCAGUUCGGAUUGUAGGCUGAAACUCGCCUACAUGAAGCUGGAGUUGCUAGUAAUCGCGAAUCAGCAUGUCGCGGUGAAUACGUUCCCGGGCCUUGUACACACCGCCCGUCACACCAUGAGAGUUGGCAAUACCCAACGUACGUGAUCUAACCCGCAAGGGAGGAAGCGUCCUAAGGUAGGGUCAGCGAUUGGGGUGAAGUCGUAACAAGGUACC
rnacentral:rRNA from 1 species